UCAGUUAGAAGGUGACGUACAGGUAGCUGAUACAGAGGUUCAAACUUUCGCAGGCUGCCUUUCCUGCACACACCACGGUCCCCUCGAAUCUCUUUCCUUGCGUGUGUCUGGGCCCCUCGACAGCAUACAUCUAGAAAUUGGAACUCUGGUUUUGCUCCUUCUCCAACCAUCCCUGAUACCCUACGCCCAUGUCCACCCAGCAGUGAAUGGCUACCAGGGGUAACAGGUAUGUUUGGCCGUGUUUUAUAGCGGCGGACGGGAUGCGAACCUCUGUGCGCCUGAAAGCCACUCCAGCACGCCACCACUCAGCCACCGCCUCACAAAGACACGGUAUUUUUAAGUCUUUUCCUUUACUGUUUAGAUUUAGUGGUUUUUAUAUUUAGCCAUUUUCUUUCAGGCCCCUCGAUGGCAUACAUCUAGAAAUUGGAACGCAGGUUUUGCUCCUUCUCCAACCAUCCCUGAUACCCUACGCCCUUGUCCACCCAGCAGUGAAUGGCUACCAGGGGUAACAGGUAUGUUUGGCCGUGUAUUUUAUAGCGGCGGACGGGAUGUGAACCUGUGUGCUUCUGAAAGCCACUCCAGCACGCCACCACUCAACCACCGCCUCCCUCUUGCUUAGGGAACAAAUCACAAUACAAGGUAUUUUUAAGUCGUUUCCUUUACUGUUUAGAUUUAGUGGUUUUUAUAUUUAUUUAGCCAUUUUCUUUCAGGCCCCUCGACGGCAUACAUCUAGAAAUUGGAACUCUGGUUUUGCUCCUUCUCCAACCAUCCCUGAUACCCUACGCCCUUGUCCACCCAGCAGUGAAUGGCUAUCAGGGGUAACAGGUAUGUUUGGCCAUGUAUUUUAUAGCGGCGGACGGGAUGCGAACCUCUGUGCGCCUGAAAGCCGCUCCAGCACGCCUCCACUCAGCCACCGCCUCCCUCUUGCUUAGGGAACAAAUCACAAUACAAGGUAUUUUUAAGUCUUUAAAGGAUUCCUUUACUGUUUAGCAUGAGUUCGUGGCGGUUACUUUUAUUCCUCGCCAGGUCUGAUAUUUUCCGGUGUUUCCCUUUUUUUCAUGUUUUCCUCGUCACGCUCCUCACCUCAACCUUCGUUUAGGGAGUGACCUCGCUUAGCCUUCCUCUCACCUACCUUAACCUGCCCUAACCUUGCCUGACCCACUUACCUGUUUAUUGAAUGGCUGUGACUUUUUUAAUCACAUGUUUACC